rnacentral:lncRNA from 10 species
CUUUCCAUGUUUCCGCACUACAUCUGCACACUGAAGCAACCACAUUUGCUGUUAGAAAAGUACUCCUACUACCUAAUUUCUGGUUAAACCAAGGCCUGAUGUUUUCUGCUUCCAUUUGUAGUGAGGGUACUUUGUAUCCUAUAAGCGAGGGACUAUAGGGGUUUCUUUGUUCAAAUUUUUCCCACAUCCCUGAGAGGCUGACAUGUGUUGCUGUGACCACUUAAUUGAUCCCAGCACUUUGGGAGGCCAAGGUGGAUGGAUCACCUGAGGUCAGGAGUUCAAGACCAGCGUAGCCAACAUGGUGAAACCCUGUCUCUACUAAAAGUACAAAAAUUAGCCAGGUGUGGUCGCAGGCGCCUGUAGUCCUAGCUACUCAGGAGGCUGAGGCAGGAGAAUUGCUUAAAUUCGGAGGCAGAGGUUGCAGUGAGCUGAGAUCG